GUUUAAUUCGAUGCAACGCGAAGAACCUUACCUACCCUUGACAUCCUGCGAAGAGCGCUGAGAGGUGCUUGUGCCGAAAGGAACGCAGAGACAGGUGCUGCAUGGCUGUCGUCAGCUCGUGUUGUGAGAUGUUGGGUUAAGUCCCGUAACGAGCGCAACCCUUGUCCUUAGUUACCAGCAUUGAGUUGGGGACUCUAAGGAGACUGCCGGUGAUGAACCGGAGGAAGGCGGGGACGACGUCAAGUCAUCAUGGCCUUUAUGGGUAGGGCUACACACGUGCUACAAUGGGGCGUACAGAGGGUCGCGAACCCGCGAGGGGGAGCCAAUCUCGAAAAGCGUCUCGUAGUCCGGAUUGGAGUCUGCAACUCGACUCCAUGAAGUUGGAAUCGCUAGUAAUCGCGAAUCAGCAUUGUCGCGGUGAAUACGUUCCCGGGCCUUGUACACACCGCC
rnacentral:rRNA from 1 species